GGGGAAGCUGGAGCCCCGAGGAGAUGGGACCUCACGUAAACCAGGCAGGAGAGAUGUUACCAAAAUGGAAUCAUUUCCCACCAGAACUCAUAUACUGAAACCCUAAUUAAUAUUAAAAAGUCUGUCCUCUGCCAUGUCUUCAAAUCCAUGGAAUUUGGGUAAGGAAACUGCAUCAGUCAGAAGUGUUUAUAGCACAUUUACACAGAGCCAAUGCUUUCACCACACCUAUUCUUUUGUAAAAACACAACUGUUGCAAUAGUUCCUGUUUCUGAUCCAGUGACUUAAUUCUAUCUUAUUCUCCAGUGAGAAGUUUGAUGGAUGUACAGUAACACUGCCAUUAUGGGGAGGGAUCCUGGGGACUGGAAAUGGUUGUUUACUGAGGGGAGGUUGUUCCAGGUGGGGUGGGAGAGCUUUGGUUUGGUUUGGUUUGUAAAUCUCACUGGACAAAUCAGCUUUGCUGCAUUUUAAAACCUGGCAGAAGAAUCCCACGUUGCUGCGUGCAACAAGGUGGUUUAUUCUGCUGUCCUCAUAUAAUCCUGCGCUGGAAGCUGCUGC